GGGAGGGAGGAACAGAGUAUCUAGAGGGGGAGGCCAGGGCACUGGAGCUUCCCUGCCUCCGUGUCAGGCUCGGGGCCACUUCCGGGACAUGCCCCACUCUGGACAGUUCUCGAGUUGGUGGUGUGGUUAUUCCCAUGUUAUAGAGGAAGAAAUCAAAGUCGUUUGCAAGGUGGCGAGGCUGCACGGGUCAGAGCCAGAAGGCUAAAGGUUCAUUUUGUAUCCUGUAACGGGCUUCUCCAUCCACCGAAUCCGGAGGAUUGUCCGGGCCGUCCUUCCCCUCCCCCCUACCCCUCCGGCGCCAAGUCCUGUCGAGUGUGUCCCCCAGAUGUCUUCCAAACACGUCAUCCACGUUUCUCCAGGGCCACCGUCAUCAACACCCAGGUCCGAGUUGCCAUUGUUUCUCAAGUUCCCACGAAGGUGUCGUCCAGCCUUUCUCUGUCUUGUAGCCUCGACCUUACGGUCAGCAGGAGCUUGAGGACGUCCUAGUCCAGCCACAGCACUGACUCCACGCAGCCCUUCAAGGGUCUCCAGAUAAAGAAUCGCAUCUAUGCCUGCAACGUGGGUCAUUUGAAAACUCCCGAAGGCUUUGUGAGAAACUGCAAAGUCACAGCUGACUUUGAUCAAGACACGUGUGCUGAAGGCUGAAUUUGUACUCAACUCAGGGAACACACAGUGAGUUUAUUGGAGACACGACAAAAGUCUGGCUUGGU